CAUCGAAGCAGCUGAAGAUGUUUGGGCCUAGGACACUAUCCUUAGAAACUCCUGCAGCAAUAUCCAGGAUGAAAUGAUUGGCCCCCACCAACCAACUUCCUUUGUGCUAAGCAAUCUGAGCUGCUAACUUCAAUGAACAAAACUGUGGCAAAUGGAUUUAAACGUGAGAUUAGUUUGGACCUAAAAGAGGUUAAGCAGGGUACUUCCUAAAUGGUGAAAAGCUAAAAACAGUGGGGGUUCAAGGAGACUUAGAGAUCCUGGUACAUGGAUGAUUAAAACGUCAAUAGGUACAGAAAAUAAUCAGAGAGGCUAAUGGGAUGCUCGCCAAUAUAUCUGGAAGACUAGAGUACAAAGGGGUAGAAAUCAUGCUUCAUGUAUACGAAGCCUUGGUUAGGUCACAUCUGGAGCAUUGAGCAAUUCUUGACAUCACUGCUCAGGAAGGAUAUAUUAGCCUUGGAGGGAGUGAAGCAUAUAUACCAGAAUAUUAACUGGGCUCCAAAUGUUCAAUUACAAAAGGAGAGAUUACAUAAACUAGGGUUGUAUUCCCCGGAAUUUAAAUGAUUAAGGGGCAAUUUGAUCAAACUUUUCAAGAUAUUAUGAGGAACGGAAGGGUAGGUCAAGAGAAACUAUUUCGACGAGUUGAAGAGCCCAGGAGCAGGGAAGAUAGUCGAAAUAUUAGAAGCAGACCUACAGGAGUGAAAUUAGUAAAUACUCCUUCACACAGAGUGUAUUAGAAGCUUGGAACUCCCCUCUUCAAAUUGAAUCUGAUGUUAGAUCAAUGUUAAUUUUACAAUUGAGAUUGAUAGAGCGUUAUUAACCAAAGGGAUAUUAAGAGAAUGGUGGAACAGCUUGGGUGGCAAAAUGGCGUACUUCUAUUCCCUUGUAUUUAUUACAUGCCAAUAUGAACACAGAAACUGAAAGGAAGAAUAUACAAGAGAGUUGUGAGACUGGCUUUGUUAUAUAGUGCAGAAACCGAGGCAACAUCAGGGAGAGAGGAAAAACAACUGAAUACAACUGAGAUGUGGCGGCUGAGAUGGAUGUGUGGAGUAACGAGAAAGGACAAGAUCAGUAACCAGUACAUCAGCCAGUUAGUGAAGAUUAUGGGAGCAUCAAAGAAAGCAACUAAGAAGAGAUAUAAAAGGUAUGGCAAGUGCGAAAGAGGACAUGUGGUGAGGGGAAGUGAUGGAGAUGGGACUGCUAGGAAGAACAGGAAGGCCUAAGACCAGAUGGAAUGAUGCGGUGGCGAGAGGUUUAUAAGCAGCAGGAUCGGAAGAGGAAUAGGUGACUGACACAAGGAGAUGGAGAAGGAUGAUCAACUCGUAUUGUGGUGACCCCAAGUAAAAUGGGAGAAUUCAAAAAAGAAAAAACAUGGACACAGUAAAAAGGAUUUUUUGUAGUGAAACUGCACUAUAAAAAAUGUGAAGUACCAAGAAACCAAAUGUUCUCAAUUGCAGAAGACGGCAUCCUUACUUUUGCAAGGAAUGCUGGUCUUGUAUUAACAUUACAGGUAUUAGGAGCAACCAGAAGCAAAUGAAUGCUCAGUCCAAUGGCAUGUUCUCACAUGUUACCCAACUAUCUUUACAAUUUGAAAUAAAAGUGUGUUAAUCUAA